rnacentral:rRNA from 1 species
CGUGAGUGAUGAAGGCUUUCGGGUCGUAAAGCUCUGUCAAGUGGGAAGAACUUGCUAUCUGAUAAUACCAGGAAGCACUGACGGUACCACUGAAGGAAGCACCGGCUAACUCCGUGCCAGCAGCCGCGGUAAUACGGGGGGUGCAAGCGUUAUUCGGAAUUAUUGGGCGUAAAGGGCGCGUAGGCGGUCUUGUAAGUCAGAUGUGAAAGCUCCCGGCUUAACCGGGAAAGUGCAUUUGAAACGAUGAGACUUGAGUAUGGGAGAGGGAAGUGGAAUUCCUGGUGUAGAGGUGAAAUUCGUAGAUAUCAGGAGGAACACCGGUGGCGAAGGCGACUUCCUGGACCAAUACUGACGCUGAGGCGCGAAGGCGUGGGGAGCAAACAGGAUUAGAUACCCUGGUAGUCCACGCAGUAAACGUUGAUCACUAGGUGUAGCGGGUAUUGACCCCUGCUGUGCCGCAGUUAACGCAUUAA